AUUGAACGCUGGCGGCAUGCCUUACACAUGCAAGUCGAACGGUAACAGGUCUUCGGAUGCUGACGAGUGGCGAACGGGUGAGUAAUACAUCGGAGCGUGCCCGAUCGUGGGGGAUAACGAAGCGAAAGCUUUGCUAAUACCGCAUAAGAUCUACGGAUGAAAGCAGGGGACCGCAAGGCCUUGCGCGAACGGAGCAGCCGAUGGCAGAUUAGGUAGUUGGUGGGAUAAAAGCUUACCAAGCCGACGAUCUGUAGCUGGUCUGAGAGGACGACCAGCCACACUGGGACUGAGACACGGCCCAGACUCCUACGGGAGGCAGCAGUGGGGAAUUUUGGACAAUGGGCGAAAGCCUGAUCCAGCCAUGCCGCGUGCAGGAUGAAGGCCUUCGGGUUGUAAACUGCUUUUGUACGGAACGAAAAGACUCUUUCUAAUAAAGAGGGUCCAUGACGGUACCGUAAGAAUAAGCACCGGCUAACUACGUGCCAGCCGCCGCAGUAAAAC
rnacentral:rRNA from 1 species